CUACGGGUUGCAGCAGUGAGGAAUUUUGCGCAAUGGGGGGAACCCUGACGCAGCAACGCCGUGUGAGUGAAGAAGGCCUUUGGGUCGUAAAGCUCUGCCAACUGGGAAGAAGUUACUGUGCUUUAAUAGAGUGCAGUAUUGACGGUACCAGUGGAGGAAGCGUCGGCUAACUCCGUGCCAGCAGCCGCGGUAACACGGGGGACGCAAGCGUUAUUCGGAAUUAUUGGGCGUAAAGGGCGCGUAGGCGGUCUUGUCGGUCAGGUGUGAAAGCCCGGGGCUCAACCCCGGACGUGCACUUGAAACAGCAAGACUUGAGUACGGGAGAGGAAAGCGGAAUUCCUGGUGUAGAGGUGAAAUUCGUAGAUAUCAGGAGGAACACCGAUGGCGAAGGCAGCUUUCUGGACCGAAACUGACGCUGAGGCGCGAAGGCGUGGGUAGCGAACGGGAUUAGAUACCCGAGUAGUC
rnacentral:rRNA from 1 species